AAUGAACGCUGGCGGCAUGCCUAACACAUGCAAGUCGAACGAGACCUUCGGGUCUAGUGGCGCGCGGGUGCGUAGCGCGUGGGAAUCUGCCCUUGGGUUCGGAAUAACAGUGAGAAAUUACUGCUAAUACCGGAUGACGUCGUAAGACCAAAGAUUUACCGCCCAAGGAUGAGCCCGCGUAGGAUUAGCUAGUUGGUGAGGUAAAAGCUCACCAAGGCGACGAUCCUUAGCUGGUCUGAGAGGAUGAUCAGCCACACUGGGACUGAGACACGGCCCAGACUCCUACGGGAGGCAGCAGUGGGGAAUAUUGGACAAUGGGCGAAAGCCUGAUCCAGCAAUGCCGCGUGAGUGAUGAAGGCCCUGGGGUUGUAAAGCUCUUUUACCCGGGAUGAUAAUGACAGUACCGGGAGAAUAAGCUCCGGCUAACUUCGUGCCAGCCGCCGCCGUAA
rnacentral:rRNA from 1 species